CAGCAAGUAUGAUCUCUACAGCAAGAGCAAGGUCAGAGUCGAUGUUGAAAAAGUCAAGCCUUACUAUCUCUCCCUCAUUGAAAAGUACUUUCCAGCCAAGCUUAGAUGGUGAAUAGAAUGACAUAUAUAUGAUCUUUUUAACGAGUUUUAAGAUACUCGUUAACAAAACUUAAAAUAAUUGUACAAAUUUUAUCAUCUACACGGUCAUAAAAAUGUGCAAUUAUUUCAUUACAAAAGAAAAUAUAUAUAUGUGUGUGUGUAUACAAACUGAUGAUCCCCAUAGGUAGCCAGCAGCAGCAGCAGCAGCAGCAGAUGUAUGUAUGUAUGAGUAAACUGAAAGUGGUUGGAACCAAACAACCAUUUUUGUGUUUUCUAGCUUUGUUUUGAUGCAAUGGAGGAAGUUUUUUUGUACUUCUAUGCUGUUGUGUAUUCGAUGCAGUAUCCAUCUAUCAAUAAAAUUUUAUAAAUUAAAAAAAAAA